UACGUAGGGUGCAAGCGUUGUCCGGAAUUAUUGGGCGUAAAGAGCUCGUAGGCGGUUUGUCGCGUCGGCUGUGAAAACCCGAGGCUCAACCUCGGGCCUGCAGUCGAUACGGGCAAACUAGAGUGCGGUAGGGGAGACUGGAAUUCCUGGUGUAGCGGUGAAAUGCGCAGAUAUCAGGAGGAACACCGGCGGCGAAGGCGGCUUCUGGGCCGUGACUUG
rnacentral:rRNA from 1 species